CAUAAUUACUCGUCACCGCCGCCACAAAGAAAGUAGGAUUUUGAUACAAAGAGAUUAUUCAACAGUGAUUACGAGACAAUGAAUCACAUGUCGUGUAUGUUCUCAAUGGAUGAUGUAAUUAACGUCAUGGAGUCACAUGGUUUGGCGAUGUCUCUUGUUCAAAAAAGAGUGAACCAACUUCUAGCUGUGGAAAAGAAGAUGAUGCUUUAUGGAGAAACAUUAGUUCUCAAAGAAGAUCUUAUGGCUAGUUGCAAGAGUCUGAGUUUGGUGGGAAGUUGGUGAUAAGUUAUCUUCUUUUAGUGAGGU